AUGGUGCUUCUCCGCUGUGGCGUCACCUACCUCAUCGAGGACCCUCCUCCACCCAACGCCACCUCCCAAUACCUCGAGCUGGACGCCCAUGUAGUUCUGUGGAUCUAUGCCACUCUCUCCGACACCAUGUGCAACCAUGUCGUCGGUGCCACGACCACGUUCGCCCUCUGGCACAAGAUCAAGGAUUACUUCCUUGCCAAUCGCGCUGCCAGCUACAUGAUCCUCAACCGCCAAUACCGCAACCUCAAGCAGGGCGAUCUCUCGGUCUCCGAAUAUGCGCGUCACAUGAAGCUCCUCACCGACGGCCUCGCCGACAUCGACCACGCCGUCACCGAGACUCAUCUCACCACUCAGUUUCUUCAUGGCCUCGACAAGCGGCUCGAAACCAUUCGUGUCGUCCUCGAUGACCAGACCCUCCCCUUCGACACGGUUCUCUCUCGGGUGGUCUUGGCCGAGGAAUCCCAGGAGCAGCGCGUGGCCGAGGAAAGCGCCUCCACCUUCGCCAUCACUGGUUCCAGUGAAGGAAAUAUGCCCUAG
rnacentral:rRNA from 1 species